AUUAAAGAAAUCCCUUAAGGCAGGCAUGUCGCAUGCAGCAUACUAGAUACAAACACUACUUAUCUAUAGAAUAAAAUAUCAGUAAAAUUGCAAGCUCAUCACUUGCAAACAAUAUCAAAAAAACCCCACUGAACACUCGUAGCAUAUAUUGUUUAGUUGUGCGUUUUAUAGUGCUCAAAAGCGCCGCCGGGUUUUUCAGUCUCGUUGAGUUAAUGCUAUAUCGAUUUUGGUUAAGACUCUAUGAGUAUUGCCUUACUCGAAAAGAAAACCUUCUAAAGAAUUGCAGAUAAAUCUCUUUGAACUCUUGAAAAAUGCGAAGGGUCUGUUGUGACAAGCUUACAAUCUACGUAAUAGCGAGGACCUUAAUGUACGAAAAUGCCGGACAGCGGCUGCCCAGCGCGGCUUCUUUUACAGAGCAACUAAAGGAUGGAACAGUCUUGGCAUUGACACUAGAUCUGCCCCAUCGUUAAGAUCAUUUAAAAGGCUUGCAAGGGAAGAAAUAGGCCAGAAAUAGGACAAGCUACUAUAGUCAAAAUAGUAUUUACUUAUGAUUAUUAGUUCCAGUAGCUGUAAAUAUUAUAUUUAUUUCAUUAGUUUUAUUAUUAUUAGUUAAUUGUAGUUUGUAAAUUAAUUCUGAAAAGCCCCACGGGGAGAAUUGAUAAUAAAAGUAUUGCAGUAUUGUAGUACAUUGUAGGGAGGAAUGGGAAAGAAUAAUACAAAGCCUUGCACUUUCAAAACGCGAAAUCAAGGCAAAAACCGAACUAGAAUUGCUGGUUUGCAAUCAUUCCCAAGAGAAUGAAAUAACAAGACACGGCGGCCAUGUUGGUUGAUAUAACAAAAGAGACUAAUGAAGAAUCUUUUGUUCAAUAAAUCCAACAUGGCGGCUAUUAAAACCAUCAAUUAUAUUCCUUAUAGAAAAAUCUACCACAAGUAUAUUAAAUUCAGAGUUAAAUAAAACUCUUCAACGACUAA